GAUGAACGCUCGCUACAGGCUUAACACAUGCAAGUCGAGGGGAAACGACAUCGAAAGCUUGCUUUUGAUGGGCGUCGACCGGCGCACGGGUGAGUAACGCGUAUCCAACCUGCCCAUCACUUGGGAAUAACCUUGCGAAAGUAAGACUAAUACCCAAUGAUAUCCCACGAAGGCAUCGGAAUGGGAUUAAAGAUUUAUCGGUGAUGGAUGGGGAUGCGUCUGAUUAGCUUGUUGGCGGGGUAACGGCCCACCAAGGCAACGAUCAGUAGGGGUUCUGAGAGGAAGGUCCCCCACAUUGGAACUGAGACACGGUCCAAACUCCUACGGGAGGCAGCAGUGAGGAAUAUUGGUCAAUGGGCGAGAGCCUGAACCAGCCAAGUAGCGUGCAGGAAGACGGCCCUAUGGGUUGUAAACUGCUUUUAUAAGGGAAUAAAGUGGGUCACGUGUGACUUUUUGCAUGUACCUUAUGAAUAAGGACCGGCUAAUUCCGUG
rnacentral:rRNA from 1 species